AGAGUUUGAUCCUGGCUCAGGAUGAACGCUAGCUACAGGCUUAACACAUGCAAGUCGAGGGGCAGCAUGGACCCAGCUUUGCUGGGUUUGAUGGCGACCGGCGCACGGGUGAGUAACGCGUAUCCAACCUGCCCUUUACUCCGGGAUAGUCUCCUGAAAGGGAGUUUAAUACCGGAUGUGUUUGUCUUUCCGCAUGGGAGCGACAAAUAAAGAUUGAUUGGUAAAGGAUGGGGAUGCGUCCCAUUAGCUAGUUGGCGGGGUAACGGCCCACCAAGGCAACGAUGGGUAGGGGUUCUGAGAGGAAGGUCCCCCACAUUGGAACUGAGACACGGUCCAAACUCCUACGGGAGGCAGCAGUGAGGAAUAUUGGUCAAUGGGCGAGAGCCUGAACCAGCCAAGUAGCGUGAAGGACGACGGCCCUACGGGUUGUAAACUUCUUUUAUAAGGGAAUAAAGUUCGCCACGCGUGGUGUUUUGUAUGUACCUUAUGAAUAAGCAUCGGCUAAUUCCGUGCCAGCAGCCGCGGUAAUACGGAAGAUGCGAGCGUUAUCCGGAUUUAUUGGGUUUAAAGGGAGCGUAGGCGGGCUUUUAAGUCAGCGGUCAAAUGUCACGGCUCAACCGUGGCCAGCCGUUGAAACUGUAAGCCUUGAGUCUGCACAGGGCACAUGGAAUUCGUGGUGUAGCGGUGAAAUGCUUAGAUAUCACGAAGAACUCCGAUCGCGAAGGCAUUGUGCCGGGGCAGCACUGACGCUGAGGCUCGAAAGUGCGGGUAUCAAACAGGAUUAGAUACCCUGGUAGUCCGCACGGUAAACGAUGAAUGCUCGCUAUGGGCGAUACAAUGUCCGUGGCCAAGCGAAAGCGUUAAGCAUUCCACCUGGGGAGUACGCCGGCAACGGUGAAACUCAAAGGAAUUGACGGGGGCCC
rnacentral:rRNA from 1 species